rnacentral:rRNA from 1 species
AGUUGUAUCCUGGCUCAGGAUGAACGCUGGCGGUAUGCCUAACACAUGCAAGUCGUACGAGAGUUUUUAACUCAAGUGGCGGACGGGUGAGUAACACGUGAGAAUUUACCUUUAGGAGGGGGACAACAACUGGAAACGGUUGCUAAUACCCCAUAUGCUUUCGAGUGAAAUGAUUUUUUCGCCUAGAGAGAAGCUCGCGGCUGAUUAGCUUGUUGGUGGGGUAAGAGCCUACCAAGGCGACGAUCAGUAUCUGGUUUGAGAGGACGAUCAGACACACUGGAACUGAGACACGGUCCAGACUCCUACGGGAGGCAGCAGUGGGGAAUUUUCCGCAAUGGGCGAAAGCCUGACGGAGCAAUACCGCGUGAGGGAAGACGGCCUAUGGGUUGUAAACCUCUUUUUUCAGGGAGGAAUCAAUGACGUGUACCUGAAGAAUAAGCAUCGGCUAACUCCGUGCCAGCAGCCGCGGUAAGACGGAGGAUGCAAGUGUUAUCCGGAAUCACUGGGCGUAAAGCGUCUGUAGGUGGUUGAACAAGUCAACUGUUAAAUCUUGAGGCUCAACUUCAAAAUCGCAGUCGAAACUGUUUGACUAGAGUAUAGUAGGGGUAAAGGGAAUUUCCAGUGGAGCGGUGAAAUGCGUAGAUAUUGGAAAGAACACCGAUGGCGAAGGCACUUUACUGGGCUAUUACUGACACUCAGAGACGAAGCUAGGGUAGCAAAUGGGAUUAGAUACCCCAGUA